CCACCCACCGGGCGUGACCACGGGAGACAACCGAGUGACACGGAAGGAAGGCCCGAAGAUCGCCCGGAGCCACAGGACGGACGGCGGGACACACCCUGUCCCCCGCCCCCGAGGCGGCCCAGGUCGGUCCGCGCGGGCGGAGGAGGAGCCACCGGCGGGUGCUGGUCGACCCACCCAGGCGGCCCGCACGGCCUCCUCCGGGAGCGAGGCGGAGGCGACAGCGGCGACAGCGGCGACGGCGACACUCCCUCGCAGCUCCGGAGGUCCAAUCUCCGGCGAGCGCAUCGCGCGCCGAGGCCCCGGCGACAGCCGGACGCUCGCGCCGGACCCGCCCUCCUCCUGGAACUGGGCCCCCGGGGAAACCGACACCAAAGCUGUUCCUUGCCUGUCGCCGCCGAGCCCCCGGAGGGGACACGCUCUAUAAAAGCGGCCGCCAGGUGGCACCCGAC
rnacentral:lncRNA from 1 species